UUGCGUGUUUUAACCAGUUCAACGUGAUGCAAAACGGUUAACAGGACAUCCUAUUCGCAUCUCCAAUGGCGAUAUCGGUUGCGCAGCCGAUCUUUCGUCUCCUUCCUUGCGAGAUUUUUGUUAUGCAAAACGGUAGAGUUCGACAAUAAAAAGGCAUCUUUUAUCCUGUUAUACAAUAAUGGCUUCCACGGCGUCUCACAUACUCCCAAUCUCGACUUCCCAAACGGUUCUCUCUGCCGCUCCUUCUUCCGUCGAAUCUCAACCACCCAUCGCUACCCCUUAUUCCCGUCUUCAUCAACCAAGUCUCAGAAACUAUCACGAUCGGAUCUUUGUGCUUUUCCUCAACGAUGUUGGAUCUGUUUUUGUCUCGGCUGUGAUGGUCGGAGUUGUGUUGAUCUGUGCUCACAGAGAGUUUAGGGCUCCGAAAGAUCUUUUAUUGGAUGCGAAGAGCAAGAUCUUUCCUUUUGUUUAUUUUUAAGUUUAAGAUUCAGGAAAUAUCAUUUUGGUUAAAUUUUAUUUGAUUCCUGGAUUGGUGAUUUAAGCUCUAGGGUUAGGGUUCCUUUAAAAUUUUGGAUUCUUUAGAUAGUUUUUCAUUAUACUCUAAUUAAAUCCUCCUUAGAGCUCUCAUUGUUCUUAUUCAUUACCAAAGCUGGUGAUAUCUGUUUGUUAAGUGUUAGUGUGAGUCUGUGGAUUGAUUGUUAAUUAAUAAGCAAAUUGAACUGGAUAACCUUCACGCCAAACAACUAAAAUGGUUCUGUUUUUUCUUACAGGUUAAAAAUUAGUUUUUAAACAAAAUUUUGACGUUUGCAAGAGCUCAACCUGAAGCAUUCAAGACGGAUAUGUUAUUGCAGUAAGCUCGCCAAACUUAUAUUUUUACUGGAAUAGUCAGGUGUUGUCAUAGCAGGAGAGGAAUAAAAUUAUUUUCCAGUUGAGGGCAUGGUCGCAUUCAACAUCUUCUGGGAGCAUGGCAUAACCGAAGAAUCUUCAGAUUUUCUUGGACAAAGAAACCGGUUUCCAUAUAAGAUCAAAGCUUUUGACCGGUUAAAGGCAAAGCUGCUUGAAAGAUUUCACUCACAACUCAGUCUUGUCUGAACUUGAAGCGAACGCUGUGGUAAUUGAGUUAAGACAAUUUCAGGUUCCAUUCAUUCAAAGCAAAUUGUGGGUCUCAGAGGUCAUCGUCAUGACGCUGGAUGGACGAGAGGGAGAGUGAAAGUAGCUGCUGGUUCAAUGAUGUCCUUCAAUACUACGGUUCUGCUGUUCUUAUCAAUGUGCCAAUGACGUUGAGUCUUAUCUCGACAUGGUCUGUGGAUGUACUUCUGGACUACUUACAGAAAUGAUAAAAAUGGUCAUUCUCCUAUAACCUUUUGUUAAAAAUUAUAGUCUUUCAGUAAUUGUCAAGUUUUGCAUUGAACAACCCUUCUCUUGAGAUGUUGUAUUAGAUUGUGCUGUCAAGUAGAAGCUUAUAUUGACUGAGGAAAUGCGAUAUAAAGAUCAUAUAAAAUAUUGUAAACUACGUUUUGUCUCUGGUUUUAAUGUGUUUUUUAUACAUAAAACUUU